GCUCGCUCCUCCUCCUCCUCUAAUGGCCCAGAAAAGAUCUUCUCCCAUGGAUUUUCUGUCCAGAAUUCUUCCAUUAACAUCAACUAUCUUCGCAUCAAUGACAGUAUCAGCUGCUAAUCCGUACUUUCGGAAUAUGGUCCCGAAUCCUCCUCCACUAAUGUGUCCCCCAACACCUACAGUCGGACAGCUACCAGCUGGGAAGCCAUAGACAUUGCUUUUCUCUGCAAUUUUAUAAUAGAACUCUCCUAGAGUUGCACCA
rnacentral:misc_RNA from 1 species